rnacentral:misc_RNA from 1 species
UCACUUGCCCGGAUCGCCGCUGCCGCAUCCUUCGUGGCCGGUGCGCGCUGCCCCAGCCACACAAGCACAGGCCACCACGCACGCGCCUGGCUGGGCUCUACCACUCACACACAUACAGAGACACGCACCACCGCAGCCGCAUCAUGUCGAGGGCUUCCGCCGCGACCAGGAAGGGCAAGAGGAAGGGCCUAUCGAUAGACGAGAAGGCCAUCCUCGUCGAGAGAUGGAUGGCUGCUCACCCGCAGCCCUACACGCUGAAAGAGCUGCAGCAGCUGAUCCCGAAGCACACCCCCGUCAUCUACCAAAGCGUCGAGGAGUGUGUGCAGCUGCUGGUCGCUGAGGGGCGCAUCGAAGAGGAUCGCGUCGGCGUGAGCACGCUGCUCUGGAGGUUUCCACCAACAGCAGCACAGCUGGCGAGUCGAUCAAGCCGGCAACCCGGAAGGAGUGGCGGACGGGGCAGCAGUUCUGCCAACAGCGCAGCGGCAUCUUUGUGUCCUAUGUCGUACGCGGAACUGCUGCGACGCUUGACGGCCAGCGGUGCGGAGGCGCAGCGGCAGCAACAGCAGGUGUCGACAGAGAUGAUGGAGCGUUGGUGCGCGUUGACGCCGCAUGUGCAGCUGCGCGAGUGGCAUGAUAUGCUCCAGGCAGAGAACGAGCGCGCCAUGGCAUCUCUCGCUCAAGAACGAGAGCGACUUGGCUUUCUGGACAACAGUGGCAACGGCGAGCAGGACAGCGAAGACGCAUCAGCUAGCGAGGCAGCCGUGCUUGCCGAGCUCGCGCGCCUUCAGCAGCUUGCGCUGCAGCGAGCUCAACUGCUUGCAGAGCACAAGAGCAUGUCCUCUCGUCAUGCACUGCCCGAGGUGCUCGACCAUCUUAACCGUGCCUCCUUCAUUGCACUCGAGGCCGCCAACAGGUGGACGGACAACUACUAUCUUGCGGAGGAAGAGGUAGUGGGAAAGGCAGGCUUUGGUGGCAGCCGCCGCGACGUCCGGGAAGCGCUGCAGCUUCCGCUGGAUCUGAGUUACCUCUCCGACGAGAGUGACGCCGAGUCGAACAUCGUCGGUGGCCAUGAGCGGCAAGAGGUAGGCGGAUGCAACAGCUUCCAUCUAUCGUGCACCCCAGCGCAUGAUGAGGCUCCGCAGCCAUCUUCACCGCUGCAGCAUGGAAGUAAUCUGUGUGAUGCCGGCAGACCUUCCUCAACACAGAAUAAGCAGCCACUCAUCACGGUGCCUCUCGGCAGCGACGCUGUCCCGGUAGCGCACGCUGAUGUUAGAGGCAGCGACCCCGCACCGGCAGCAGUGGCAGCACCGUCAGUCCCGGGCACAGAUGCCGCUGCACCACUCUCCACAGCCGCGAGGCCGAAAAAGGCGAAGACCGCCAAGCCGCCGUCGGCGAAACGAAGCACAGGCAAGCGUGCUCGCUCAUGACGUGUGACGUUGUGCCGCCGCUCAGAGGGCAAGGAAGAGGGAGAGAAGAGGUUUCCAAGUUUUAUGAUGGGGCUGCUGCUGCCGCCCUCCCGGUCAUGCGCCAUCUCUCGCAUUCUCAGACGUGUAAACAUACCAUUGCUGCUUCUGGUCACUCAGUCCCUCUUUCUCCUGUUGUUCGAACUGCUGCCACGAAAACGCGAUCAUAUCUGUCACCACACACCCCUCAUUCUCUCCGGUGGGCGCCCUGUCGUGGUCCUCUUUGAGUUCGUCUGUGUGCAUGUGUGAGCGCGCGCGCGAGCGCACUUCUCGUCUUUGCCAUCGCCCUGUUGCUCCUCUUCGAGCAGCAGCACAUUUUUUGGCACGCAGACGCACACGCUCACACAUAAACGCGCGCAUGCAUGUAUGCAAGCGGCGUAGCGUCCUGUCUCUCUGCCUCUCCCUCAGUGUGAGCAUGCGCACUCAGACAUACACGCGCACUCGCACGUUCCCCCUCGCCUCUCUCAUCUCCCUCCUGUCACCGCCGUUGGACCUCUGCACAACGGCCCCUGUCGCUGCAAG